rnacentral:tRNA from 1 species
UCGGGGAUCGUCCAAUUGGCAGGACUGUGGCUUUUGGUGCCACCUAUCGGGGUUCGAGUCCUCGUCCCCGAG